rnacentral:rRNA from 1 species
AGAGUUUGAUCAUGGCUCAGGAUGAACGCUGGCGGCGUGCAUAACACAUGCAAGUUGAACGGGUGUAGCAAUACAUCAGCAGCGGACGGGUGAGUAACACGUAAGUAACCUACCCUCAAGACUGGUAUAACCUGCCGAAAGGUGGGCUAAUCCCAGAUGUGGUUAGAGAGACGCAUGUCUUUUUAACUAAAUCCCGUAAGGGGCUUAAGGAUGGGCUUGCGGCCUAUCAGCUAGUUGGUAAGGUAACGGCUUACCAAGGCUAUGACGGGUAGCUGGUCUGAGAGGACGACCAGUCACAAUGGAACUGAGAUACGGUCCAUACUCCUACGGGAGGCAGCAGUGAGGAAUUUUCCACAAUGGGCGAAAGCCUGAUGGAGCGACGCCGCGUGUGCGAUGAAGUCUUUCGGGAUGUAAAGCACUGUCAGUGGGGACGAUAUUGACGGUACCCACAGAGGAAGCCACGGCUAACUACGUGCCAGCAGCCGCGGUAAUACGUAGGUGGCGAGCGUUGUCCGGAAUUAUUGGGCGUAAAGCGAGUGUAGGUGGUUUUGUAAGUCAGAUGUUAAAGUCUCCGGCUCAACCGGAGUUCGCAUCUGAUACUGCGAAACUAGAGAGAUUCAGAAGAAAGCGGAACUUGCGGUGUAGCGGUGAAAUGCGUAGAUAUCGCAAGGAACACCAGUGGCGAAGGCGGCUUUCUAGGAAUUUUCUGACACUGAGACUCGAAAGCUAGGGGAGCAAACGGGAUUAGAUACCCCGGUAGUCCUAGCCCUAAACAAUGUUCACUAGGUGUUCGAGGUAUCGACCCCUUGAGUGCCGCAGCUAACGCGUUAAGUGAACCGCCUGGGGAGUACGGUCGCAAGAUUAAAACUCAAAAGAAUUGACGGGGGCCCGCACAAGCGGUGGAGCAUGUGGUUUAAUUCGAUGCUACGCGAAGGACCUUACCUAGGUUUGACAUACUAGUAGUAGGAACCGGAAACGGUAACGACCUAUAGCAAUAUAGGAGCUAGAACAGGUGCUGCAUGGCUGUCGUCAGCUCGUGUCGUGAGAUGUUGGGUUAAGUCCCGCAACGAGCGCAACCCCCAUCGUUAGUUGAUAACGUAAAGUCGAUCACUCUAGCGAAACUGCCUCGGAUAACGAGGAGGAAGGUGGGGAUGAGGUCAAGUCAUCAUGGCCCUUAUGCCUAGGGCCACACACGUGCUACAAUGCUGCGUACAAAGAGAAGCAAGACCGCAAGGUGGAGCAAAUCUCAAAAAGCGCAGCCCAAUUCGGAUCGUAGGCUGCAACUCGUCUACGUGAAGCUGGAAUCGCUAGUAACUGCAGAUCAGACGCGCUGCGGUGAAUACGUUCUCGGGCCUUGUACACACCGCCCGUCACACCAUGGAAGUCAGGAACGCCCAAAGCUCCGGUUUACCGGAGUUAAGGUGGUAUUGAUGACUGGGGUGAAGUCGUAACAAGGUAGCCGUA